rnacentral:rRNA from 1 species
GUAGUUAGCCGGGGCUUCCUCCUUGGCUACCGUCACUUUCUUCGUCACCAAGGACAGAGGUUUACAAUCCGAAGACCUUCUUCCCUCACGCGGCGUUGCUGGGUCAGGCUUGCGCCCAUUGCCCAAUAUUCCCCACUGCUGCCUCCCGUAGGAGUCUGGACCGUGUCUCAGUUCCAGUGUGGCCGAUCAGCCUCUCAGCUCGGCUACCCAUCGUUGGCUAGGUGGGCCGUUACCCCGCCUACUACCUAAUGGGACGCGAACCCCUCCUUCUGCGGAUUGCUCCUUUGACCUCUGAACCAUGCGGCUCUGUGGUCUUAUGCGGUAUUAGCACUUGUUUCCAGGUGUUAUCCCCCUCAAAAGGGCAGGUUGUUCACGCGUUACUCACCCGUUCGCCACUAACUACAAAUCCGAAAACCUGUAGUCCGUUCGACUUGCAUGUGUUAGGCACGCCGCCAGCGUUCGUCCUGAGCCAGAAUCAAACUCUGA